rnacentral:tRNA from 1 species
GGCUUCAUAGCUCAGUUAUUUAGAGCGUCGCACGGGUAUCUCGAGGUCACGGGUUCAAACCCCGUUAAAGUCC